CUUUACUUCAAUUAGAUCCUCUUAAAAGGUGACUUGUGUGAAAAUCACUGCGAAACACAUCUGGUAAAGCUCUUUCCUUUACAGCCAGAGGGAGCACUAGAUAAAAUUUCUUUCUUUUCCUUGCACACUCUGAACUACGGGGAGUGGAGAAAGGAGUCAGCGAGUGGAGACCACACCACCAGCUUUGUCGCGGGGGGUAAGGGGCGGAGGAGUCGCCUGAUGUGGAGCCUCUGGGAAAAGGUGGCGAACGUGUAAAGCAGGUCACGUUUCUCACGGUUUCUUCCCUGCUGAUCGGAUCUUCUGAACUUGGGAAUUCCGGUCUGACCUGACCCGCAGCGUCACGUGCUGCCUUCCUUCGAAGUCUCCUACGUUCAUACAGCCCCUCCUCAUUACUCGUGGGUUCCAUAUUCAUGAAUCUGCCUUCUAACGUUUAUUUGUAACCCCAGAUCAGUCCCCAGAGCAGUGCUUUCGUGCUUGGGAACACGUGCGGGCAAGUGGAAACUGCCUGGCGCCCCCUGAGGGUUCGGGGGGCGGGGGGGGGGACACGGCACCGCCCUGCCCCCCAGUUGUCACUCCCCCUGCCGUAAACAGGGUCCUUUUUGCGGCCCGUUUAGUGCUGUGUCUUCCCCCUUGUGUUGGUGAUUUCGCCGUUUCAGGCAGCCCCGAGCACAGUGCUGAGGUGCUGUCCGUGUCCCCGCGUGCAGGGAGGCUCUGAUGUGCCCCACCGAGAUGUGGCAGAUGAGCUUCCUCCAGGCCUGAGUUCAGUGUCGGCGAAUCAACAACGUAGACUAAACGAGAUGCCCUUAAACAGAAACACACCUGAGAGAAAGGGGUGAUGUAUAAUUAGAAAGGCCGAAAGGGAGCAGAGGAGACAGGAAGGAGGCGCGCAGCACUUGUGCAGCGGAGUGGAUGUCCGGGGCAGAAACGCGCUUUCCCCGCCCCGACCUGUGCCGAGGCUUUGAGUUUUCAGAGAAGCGCUUGAAUUGCACGCCACGAUGUUCACCGUUUUCGUACCCGGUGAAGGCUGGGCAUUUUCUCGAAGCCCAGAACACCCAGUGAAUGAAUUUGAUCUUCCCUGCUUCUCAUACUAAUUUUGUAUUCCUCCAAGUAGUAGAAGUACCAGAAAGAUCCCUUCUGGAAAUAUCGGUGGAGUUUAUCAUAAACGAUUGGUGCUUGUAAUGCUUUACUUUAAUCGAGUUAAAGGAUGAACUUUCCAGGUAGCUUUUUCUCCAUGCCCUCCUACAAAGCUGUUAAACUUGUUUGAUCCUUAAAUAUUUUCCUUUUGACCCAGGACGGUGUGAACCGUCCAUUCAUUCUACAGUGGGAUGAUGAGUGUUUAUACUGAGCUGAUGGAAUACCUAAUGCGAUUAUUAAAAGCGUGUGAAGCUGGCUCGGCAGACGCUUUUCAUCUUUGGGAAUGGGAAUCUUAGAUCACAGAACCAUCAAAUGGUCAGAAGUGAAACUCGUAAAUGCGAGUCAACACUUUGAGUUUGUUUCCUACGUACGGGGCAUGGUGGGCGACGGGAGAGCGCCGUGGGAGAGGCAGUGGACUCGGAAGAGCAGGUGGGAUUCAGAUGGAAAACUAGAAAAUGUUGCAAGAUUUGUUCCUAUGACAGCGAUGCACCUGCGUAGUUUAGAAGGUCACGCCCCACGUGGAAAUUGACGUGAGUGCUCACAAUAGCAUUAUUUUUGGCAGCUGGCUGUUCCUCCCCGGUAGAAUGGACAGAGUAAGGCGCAGCCCUGCGGUGGAAUAGUAUUGAGCCACGUAAAGGAACGAAGCGCUGAUCCGUGCUGCAGCAGGGCUGAGUCUUGAAAACACGUUAAGGGGUAGACGCCCGACACACAAGGCCGUCUGCCGUGCUCAGGAGAACCCAUAAGCACAGACAGGUUGGUGGUUGUCGGGGACUGGGGGUGCGGGCAGCGGGCAGUGAGGAACGGCUAAUGGGAAUGGAGUUUUCUUUUUGGGGCGAUACAAACGUCCUAGAAUUAGAUAGUGGUGACCAUCACGUGCCUUUGUGGAUGCACUAAAACCACUGAGUGGCACACUUAGAAAAAGUAAAUUUUACGGUUUGCAAAUUACAUCUUAAUUAAAAAAAAAAAAAACCAAAAACUCUCCCUUGAGGAAACUGAGCGUUGAUACCAUUUUCAGAUUAAAGCAAUUUUCAAGUAUUGUCGUUUUCAUCUAAAUAGUGGAACCCACAAGGUAACCAGCACUGACUGCGUUUGAUCUUUAAAAUUUUUUUUUUAACGUUUAUUUAUUUUUGAGACAGAGAGAGA